rnacentral:tRNA from 1 species
GGGGAUUUAGCUCAGUGGUAGAGUGCUUGCCUAGCAAGCACAAGGCCCUGGGUUCGGUCCCCAGCUUCA